UGAUCUAAGCAGCCUCGUCAAUCUUUCACAUAAAUAAAGGGUAACUGGAACUGCCAAGUACAUCCAGGUCUGCCAAUUUCCAAAAAAAAAAUAAAAUUUGAGAUUUCAUUAAAUAAUUGCCAUUACUGAAUUUCAGGAAUUUGAAGUGAUCAUUGCUUACCGUUUUCUUGUACCAUUUCUGGGUCAGGAAGAGCUUCAUUCCAUGCACAAUGAGGAGAGUGUAAACAAUGACAAAUAGAUGGUGAGAGUACCAGAAGGCAUUGAAGCCAGUGAGCUUCUUCAGAGGCUUGGGAAGGUCCAUCCUACCCCGCCUGAAGCAAGGCGCAGCUAGCGUGAAAGC
rnacentral:lncRNA from 1 species